GGGCGGUUGGCGCAGUUGGUUAGCGCGCAUCGUUGACAUCGAUGAGGUCAUUGGUUCGAAUCCAAUACCGCCCACCA
rnacentral:tRNA from 3 species